AACCAAGUACGCUUUUCAGUCCGCUUUUCAGGCGAUUUUCCCGCAUUUGGCGCCUGAUGUAUCGGGAUAGCAGAAGGCUGAAGCGAUAUGCGCAUUCCGGCGCCGCGACGCUACCGACGCUCUUGGCGAAUUGAAAUGAUCCCGAUUGUGAUAAUUUUAGAAUGGGCGGGAAGUUCGUCAGCACAGCUCCACGAUAUGUUCCUAUCUGCUUCGACCUUUUGUUUGCGUGCGGGUAUCCGGUUCAAUUAAUCAAACAUUAUUUUCCAAGUGAGAAAUGUAGCUCAGAAAAUAAUAAUUAUAUAAUUACAUCGUUUUAAAUGGUGUGAUGGUGUCCCGUUCAGUAUGUUAAAGUGAUAUCAGGGAAAUCGGAUAAGCUUUGUAUAUUCACUUUUCAUAUAUCUAGAUGCCCGACAGCCACAUAUGAUUGGAGAUAUUUGUCCUACUCCUAGUCGUACUAGUAACAUUGAUGGGUGAAAUCUCCGGUAAACCCAGCGUUGGAGGAGGAUAUGGAGGGGGCGGAUAUGGCGGAGGAGGCUAUAUCGGCGGUGGUUCCAUCGGUGGUGGUGGUUACGGAGGUUAUGGAGGAAUAGGUGGAGGACGUGGACAUUACGGCGGUGGAGGUGGAUAUGGCGGUGGUUACGGUGGAAGACACGGGUGUUCCCAUGGGAAGUAACAUUGAUAGAAAUCACGAUAUUCAAUCGCAAAAUAAA